GACAGAGGGGGCAAGCGUUGCUCGGAAUCACUGGGCGUAAAGGGCGCGUAGGCGGGAUGGCAAGUCGGUCGUGAAAUCCUUCGGCUCAACCGAAGAACGUCGGCCGAUACUGCCGUUCUUGAGGGAUGCAGAGGAGAUUGGAAUUCCCGGUGUAGCGGUGAAAUGCGCAGAUAUCAGGAGGAACACCGAUGGCGAAGGCAGCUCGCUGGGACGGUACUGACGCUGAGACGCGAAAGCGUGGGGAGCAAACAGG
rnacentral:rRNA from 1 species